GUGCCAGCAGCCGCGGGUAUACGUAGGUGGGCAGCGUUUUCCGGAAAUUAUGGGGCGUAAGCGCGCGUAAGCGGUUUUUUAAGUCUGAUGUGAAAGCCCACGGGCUCAACCGUGGAGGGUCAUUGGAAACUGGAAAACUUGAGUGCAGAAGAGGAAAGUGGAAUUCCAUGUGUAGCGGUGAAAUGCGCAGAGAUAUGGAGGAACACCAGUGGCGAAGGCGACUUUCUGGUCUGUAACUGACGCUGAUGUGCGAAAGCGUGGGGAUCAAACAGGAUUAGAUACCCUGGUAGUCC
rnacentral:rRNA from 1 species